AGUGACCUAGUGGUUACAGAAUUGGACUCGCAAAGUGGGGGGCCCUGGUUCAAAUCACAUUAGGG
rnacentral:tRNA from 16 species